UACGUAGGGUGCGAGCGUUAAUCGGAAUUACUGGGCGUAAAGCGUGCGCAGGCGGUCUGUUAAGACCGAUGUGAAAUCCCCGGGUUUAACCUGGGAACUGCGUUUGAAACUACAAGGCUAGAGUGUGGCAGAGGGGGGUGGAAUUCCACGUGUAGCAGUGAAAUGCGUAGAGAUGUGGAGGAACACCGAUGGCGAAGGCAGCCCCCUGGGAUAACACUGACGCUCAUGCACGAAAGCGUGGGGAGCAAACAGG
rnacentral:rRNA from 1 species